CCUAUGGGUGGCAGCAGUGGGGAAUAUUGCACAAUGGGGGAAACCCUGAUGCAGCGACGCCGCGUGAGUGAAGAAGUAUUUCGGUAUGUAAAGCUCUUUCAGCCGGGAAGAAAAUGACGGUACCUGAUUAAGAAGCCCCGGCUAACUACGUGCAACCAGCGCCGGUAAUACGGCGGGGGCAAGCGUUAUCCGGAUUUAGCGGGUGUAAAGGGAGCGUAGACGGCAGCACAAGUCUGGAGUGAAAUGCCGGGGCUUAACCCCGGAACUGCUUUGGAAACUGGGCAGCUAGAGUGCAGGAGAGGUAAGUGGAAUGCCUAGUGUAGCGGUGAAAUGCGUAGAUAUUAGGAGGAACACCAGUGGCGAAGGCGGCUUACUGGACUGUAACUGACGUUGAGGCUCGAAAGCGUGGGGAGCAAACAGGAUUAGAUACCCCUGUAGUC
rnacentral:rRNA from 1 species